AUGGAGCCCCUCCAACGGCAUCUCGAUGUUGUAGUGGACACAGGGGUCAUCUCCAAGCUCCAGGGUCGGCUGUCGCAGCUAUGGGCUUCCCUCUACACCGACGAUGUUGCUCUCUUCCUCAACCCCGUGAAGACCGAGCUGGCAGCUCUCUGCUCCAUUCUUACUGCUUUUGGCCUGGCUUCCGGGCUUAAGGUAAACUUCGAGAAAAGUGUCGUCCUCCCCAUAAGGUGCGAGCAGUUGGACGUGCAUGACGUGAUCUCACCUCUGAGGGCUAGGGUUGAGAGCUUCCCCUGCAAUUUUUUGGGGCUGCCGCUGUCGCUUCGGACCUUGCGUAAAGUGGACCUGCAACCGCUGCUGGACAAGCUCCGCGCACGCCUAGUGCGCUGGAAGGCCAGGUUGCUCACCCUUGCUGGUAGACUGGUUCUCCUCAACUCCGUCCUGACUGCUUUCACCAUAUACUGGUCGGCCGUCUAUGCGCUCCCGCCAUGGGUUCGUAAGGAGCUGGAUCGGCUACGGCGUGCAUGGUUAUGGCAUGGGGCGGAGGUGUGCCAUGGUGGGCACUGCAAAGUUGCGUGGAGCCGCGUUUGCCGCCCGCGCGAUCUUGGUGGGCUCGGUAUCGUCGACCUGGAGCGGUUCGGCAUGGCGCUCCGCCUCCGCUGGCUUUGGGCGGAAAUGACCUCCGUCGUCCCCGGGCAGGGUUUACCGGUCCCAGUGACACUUGCGGAACGACAUAUGUUUGCGGCGGCAUGUGCGGUCACCGUUGGGGAUGGCAACCGAGUCAGUUUCUGGUACGAUAGCUGGCUGCCCGAGGGCGCGCCGCUCUUCAUCGCCCCUGAUCUAUUCAAGGUCUCAAGGCGCAAGGUGCACUCCGUGCGUGGGGCACUGUUAGGGAGCAGAUGGAUCCAAGACCUCUGUGUCCGGGUGACCACCGACUUGUUGCCUUCCUUUGUCAGGCUAUGGGCGUGUGUCAAUUCCCGGCAGCCGCUCUCCCCUGGCACCAUGGAUUCCUUCCGCUGGAGGCUAACAGAAAAUGGCGUCUACACGACGGCCUCCGCGUAUAGGCUUUUCUUCAUCGGAUCCACUAUUUUCCCACUAUGUCAGGAGAUCUGGAAAGCCUGGGCUCCGCCCAAACUCCGUACCUUUGCAUGGCUGCUCGCCCAAUGGCGGAUCCUCACAUCCGACCGCCUACUUGCUCGGCAUUGGCCCAAUUCCUAUUUUUGCCCGCUAUGUUUGCGGAACCUCGAGAUAUCGGUGCAUCUCAUGAAGGAAUGCCCGUGGUCGCGUCAGCUAUAG
rnacentral:rRNA from 1 species